rnacentral:rRNA from 1 species
AUACGUAGGGUGCAAGCGUUAAUCGGAAUUACUGGGCGUAAAGCGUGCGCAGGCGGCUUUGUAAGACAGAGGUGAAAUCCCCGGGCUCAACCUGGGAACUGCCUUUGUGACUGCAAGGCUAGAGUACGGCAGAGGGGGAGGGAAUUCCGCGUGUAGCAGUGAAAUGCGUAGAUAUGCGGAGGAACACCGAUGGCGAAGGCAAUCCCCUGGGCCUGUACUGACGCUCAUGCACGAAAGCGUGGGGAGCAAACAGGAUUAGAUACCCUGGUAGUCCACGCCCUAAACGAUGUCAACUGGUUGUUGGGUCUUCAUUGACUCAGUAACGAAGCUAACGCGUGAAGUUGACCGCCUGGGGAGUACGGCCGCAAGGUUGAAACUCAAAUGAAUUGACGGGG